AUUGAACGCUAGCGGGAGGCUUAACACAUGCAAGUCGAACGAGUGGCGGACGGGUGAGUAAUAUAUCGGAACGUGCCCAGUUGCGGGGGAUAACUACUCGAAAAAGUAGCUAAUACCGCAUACUAUUGGAUGGGCCGAUAUCGGAUUAGCUCGUUGGUGGGGUAAUGGAUCACCAAGGCAACGAUCCCUAGCUGGUGUGAGAGGACGACCAGCCACACGGGGACUGAGACACGGCCCAGACUCCUACGGGAGGCAGCAGUGGGGAAUUGUGGACAAGGGGGGAAACCCUGAUCCAGCCAUCCCGCGUGUAUGAGAAGGCCUUCGGGUGGUAAAGGACUUUUGGCAGAGAAGCGGUAUCUGAAGAAUAAGCACCGGCUAACUACGUGCCAGCAGCCGCGGUAAUUC
rnacentral:rRNA from 1 species